UACAUGCGCGUCUCAAUGCAGUCGUACGCUUCUUUUUCCACCGGAGCUUGCUCCACCGGAAAAAGAAGAGUGGCGAACGGGUGAGUAACACGUGGGUAACCUGCCCAUCAGAAGGGGAUAACACUUGGAAACAGGUGCUAAUACCGUAUAACAAUCGAAACCGCAUGGUUUUGAUUUGAAAGGCGCUUUCGGGUGUCGCUGAUGGAUGGACCCGCGGUGCAUUAGCUAGUUGGUGAGGUAACGGCUCACCAAGGCCACGAUGCAUAGCCGACCUGAGAGGGUGAUCGGCCACAUUGGGACUGAGACACGGCCCAAACUCCUACGGGAGGCAGCAGUAGGGAAUCUUCGGCAAUGGACGAAAGUCUGACCGAGCAACGCCGCGUGAGUGAAGAAGGUUUUCGGAUCGUAAAACUCUGUUGUUAGAGAAGAACAAGGAUGAGAGUAACUGUUCAUCCCUUGACGGUAUCUAACCAGAAAGCCACGGCUAACUACGUGCCAGCAGCCGCGGUAAUACGUAGGUGGCAAGCGUUGUCCGGAUUUAUUGGGCGUAAAGCGAGCGCAGGCGGUUUCUUAAGUCUGAUGUGAAAGCCCCCGGCUCAACCGGGGAGGGUCAUUGGAAACUGGGAGACUUGAGUGCAGAAGAGGAGAGUGGAAUUCCAUGUGUAGCGGUGAAAUGCGUAGAUAUAUGGAGGAACACCAGUGGCGAAGGCGGCUCUCUGGUCUGUAACUGACGCUGAGGCUCGAAAGCGUGGGGAGCAAACAGGAUUAGAUACCCUGGUAGUCCACGCCGUAAACGAUGAGUGCUAAGUGUUGGAGGGUUUCCGCCCUUCAGUGCUGCAGCUAACGUAUUAAGCACUCCGCCUGGGAGAGUACGACCGCAAGGUUGAAACUCAAAAGGAAUUGACGGGCGCCCGCACAAGCGGUGGAGCAUGUGAUUUAUUCGAGCAGCGUCGAAGACCUUACCAGGUCUGACAUCGUUAGACCACUCUAGAGAUAGAGCUCCCCUUCGGGGGCAAGUGAAGUGUCAUGAUCGUCGACGCUCGAGUCUGAAUGUCCUAAGUCGACGAGGCACUAUGCAUGCAUUCAGUGCCUGCAGACUGCGUGACACCGA
rnacentral:rRNA from 1 species